rnacentral:tRNA from 1 species
GCCGCAAUAGCUCAGCUGGUAGAGCAGCGCACUCGUAAUGCGCAGGUCGGCGGUUCGAGUCCGCCUUGCGGCACCA